rnacentral:lncRNA from 1 species
CCUGUUUUACAAAGACAAGAUGAACAACAGAACAGCAUCAUCAGAUUGCAUGAUUAGGCUUUUGAUUCCACAUAGAAGAAUUAAUUGAAGACCUCGACCUCGUACCCAAAGUUCCAUUCGGCACAAACAUAAGGACCAAUCCGGAGAUGAACAUAGAGGCCGGCCUGCUUCACCAGCUUGAUGAAGCGAACCAGGUCGUAAUUACCACCAAAAUAAUACUGCCAAAGAUCAAGAAAAGCAACAAAUUGAGGCACACUAUGGGAAGGAGCAGUAGCCUUAGACGAGAGGGCUGGGAAAGGUUGGGUGAUCUCCGAACCUGGCCAGGGGACGGCUCGUGGCCGUUCCAGAACACAUAGGUCUGGAUAACAUCCAAGCCGCCAUCUUUAGCCUUCUGGAUGAGAUCCGGCCACAUCUGGAGACGAUCCAAUCGACAAAGUUCAGGUUUUGACGCGGUAGAAUAACAGUGCACGAACAGCUCACCAAAAAGGCCACAUUUCCCACAGAAUUGGAGACCUUACCUCCGGGGUGCUCCUGGGAUAGUGAAUGGAACCGGAGAUUAGAAUCCUCCUCUGCCCAUUGACGAUGAUAGCCUUGUGGUCGUAGGAAACGGAGGCAUCGACCGGAGAGGAAUGCCACGGAGACGACACCACCACCAACGCCACCGCCAGUAGCAGCAGCGUCGACAGUCCGCGGCCGCACCCAAGCGUUAUAAGCUCGAGGCUCAUGGUGGCCGGUCGGUCUUACCUUCAGAGGAGUCUCCUUUAGUGUUCUGGAUGUAUAAUAUGUGAAUGAUGGAGAUUCGUGCGCGCUGUUCUUCCGUCUUCUCCUCCGCUAGAGAAGUUCCGACGGAACUAUUGAGCAGUAGCGUUACUGCAACAAGCACACACCGAGGAAGAGAGAGGGAGAUCAAAGAGGAGGGAGGGAAGAGGGCGGACGUGGAGUGGGAGCGCGGGGGCGGGGAGGACGGGGGAGGGCGAUGUGCCUCUUGCGGUAUAAAUACCCGACGGGCGCAAGCGAGCACAGGAUUGGCGCUGGAAUACGCGGGUCCCAAAGCGCCAGCCACGUCAACGUUUUCUUCCAUUCCCCCUGAACAGGAAAAAAUCAAAUGGACCGAAGCGUGGGGCCAUCUGCUUGUAAGAAAGUGGACCAAUUAAGAUAAAGCUUUGAUAGUUGGCAAGGAUCGACAGAGUCAAAAUAUUUUGUUAAAAUUAUUAUUUGAGAAAAUUAGGACAGAUAGGUUAUGUGGAAUAAUAUUAGAAACUAAUAAUAUUAGUUUAGUUUUGUAAGAAAAUUUUAUGUUGAUGAUAUUUUUUAGUUGUCUAAUAUAUCGAUAUACAUUAUGAUAGUAAGCGAGUUAGAUAACAUAUCCAUAACCAUGAUAUAAAUAUUUUUUUAUAAAAUUACAUAUACAUGAUAUACCUAAAGGGUUUGAUGAGAUAUAUCAUAUUAUUAUUUUAUUAUGUGAAUAACAAUUUUUUUAUAUGUUAAUUUAGUUUCACAUAAGAAAUGUAUAAAGAUUUAGAUAAGAGUAUGAUAAUUGUACCAUUCUUAUCGUGAGUUUAGAGGGAUUUAACUCAAAGUAUCUCUCUCAGACGAAGAUUAUAUAUGUGGCAGAUAAGGCUAAGCCAGAUAGGAGAGAAAGGUAUGUUUUUAAAUAAAUAAAGCUUUUUAAGCAAUGGAAUAUUGUCAAAAUUAAAAUAAUAUGAAUACUAUAUUUUUGAAAAGCAAAUAAAGUUUCUUGAGUUGUAAUGAUAUCCAUUUUAAGCAAAUAUAAUUGCUGCAUUAUAUUUUUAAUGUCGAUGCCAAUAUUUAUAGUCACUGAUUAAAACAUGCCACAUAUAAUAUUUUCUUUCAAUACCAGAAAGAUAUUUAUAGUAUGAAUGAAAGGAUAAAUUUAGCUGAAUAUGGAACAUGAUGAACCAUAUCAUAACCAAUCCUCAAUUGAACUAAAACUUAAUCCUUACAGAAAUAGUUUGUAAUCAUCCUAAACUGGUCUAAAUAGAUUUCUAUUUUAGAUUAAACUGGCCUAGACAGUGCCUGACCCAGUCUGAUCCUUGAUAAGUGGUCAAGCCAAGCUACUGAAAUGUUGACCUCUGUGUUUGUAACUCAUGAUGAAAUUCUAAGUGACAUUAACAGUUUCUUCUUUAUAGUUGAUAAAUCAUUGUCAUCUCUUUCUAAAAAUAAAAAUAAAAAAAGCUGGGAAUAAAAAUAUCUAUAACAAUGCCUUUUUCCUGGCACCAGAUUGUAUCUUUACCACUAAUUUCUUGUUUCUUGCACUGUUGCACAUGAUCAUCAUGCAUCUUGUUAGACAUCUCAAGUGGUUGCCACAUAGUUCAGAGCUCAGAAGCACAGCCACACAAUUGCAUCAGGAAUCAAAAUGCUUAUAAGCUUUGCAGAAGCAAUGGAAAAGGCAAAGGAUGAUAACUUAAUAUGGAUCAAAAUGCUUAUAAGCUUAAGUAGUACAGAAGCAAAAGCUUAGCUCUUGCAAUUACAAGACCGACCAACCAUUUUGUGUAAACAUGCUAUCCCAAUUGCUAAUAUUAUGUCCACACAUGGACUCAAUAUAUGCAGAAUCCCACGUGCAGUAAGUAAUAUGUUGAGUGCAUCCAAUAUUUUCUAUGCACAUUUACUCACGUAACCAGGCAAUACCUUAAAGUGGGUGUGCAGUUCCUGCAUCUCCACCAAUCACUACUCCACGACUUUGGUUUGUAUAAAUUGACUUUAGUUCAUUUUCUUUACUUGGUCUACCAUCUGUGGUUAUCAUCUGCAGAUGGUUUUGACAGCAAGCUUCUUCAUAGUGCUACUCUUUUCACCAUUGAAAUCCCAGUUGGAUCACCACCCCACUCUUCAAACACAACCAACAAGUUUCCAGUUGGGUUCAGCCAAGCGCGAGGAACAUGAUACCUGAGAUUUGAGGUCAGUAAUCAGUCAUUUAUUCGAUUUUUUCGCAAGCUUAAUGGGGUGGAAAAAAAGGCAGGUGUUUCAUUACCAUUUUUGAGAAGGCUCCCCACAAUUAGUCUGGCAUUUCUUCUCGUUGUAUGUCCCUCUGUAAUCGCACCAAUCACAAGAACCAUAUGCCUUAUAGGCAGGCCAGUAUCUGCCAAUGCUUUGUCCAUUGAUCCAUAUCUGACCUUUGCCCAUGCUACUCAUGUCUAAUGCCAAUGGCUCAUUCCCAGCUGGAGCAUUAAAGAAAGCCUGGAAGAUGAUAAAGAUUAAGUGACACAAUAGUCUCAAACAUGAGAGGAAGGAAGAUGAACUUUAGGAUAACAUGUUUCUGUGUUGCAAGCAGUACUGACCUUGUACCAAGUCAAGGGCUGCUUUGUUGAUGCACCUCCCCACUCAACUGAAGAACUGCCACUAAGUGUAUGGAUGCUCAGGGAUUCACCUCUCAGGCCGAUCUACACACACAAACAUGGAACUCAGUAACCAGUAAGCAAGUUUUAGUCAGAGACUAAUGUAGGUAGGAAGAGUUGAUUGGAACCUGGUAAAUCCAUUUCUGUGAUGAAAGGUCUCUCUUUCCUUCAUUGAGACCUUCCAGAGUCACUGGACCAAGAACACCAGCAUUCCAUGUCUCAAAGUGGUUGCCAACAUUCUGAAACAGAUCAGAGAACAGAAAUCUGAUGUCUCAACAGCCAUCUUGUGUGUAUAAUUGUACAGGGUUAUUUGUAUGAUAUUUCAACUUUUCGAUCAAUGGCCAGGAAAUAUUUCACAACAAAUUAUGUACUCACAGGAAGACCAACAGCGACACUUAGAAUCGAGAUUUUGUUGCUUCCUGCCCACAACUUCACAUUUUCUCUGAAAGUCAGCUUUGGAUUGUCCAAACUACCAGAGACAGUCCCUGCCAGAAGAAAAGAAAGCAAAAGCCAAAUCGGAACCUCACCAAAUGUUGAGCAUAUCAUCAAGAAUCAAUUCUCCACAAGGCAAAGCCACUCACCAGCCCGUUCUCCAUUGAUGAAAACAUGCAUAGAAUGGCCUGCCGACAUCACAGUCAGGAAAGGGUAUCGGCCAUUCUUCAAGAAUUGUUCAUUUGAGUCUAUGUUAACACUGAAGAGUGGAGAUUGUGAGUCAUUGAGUGAUAGAUGUCAUUGAUUCUGUCUCAAAUAGACAAGCUGCAAAGGAACGUCUACUCACUAUGAAGUGUACCACAGGUAGUCUGUCCGAUCCCUUGUCAUGCUUAUCUGCUCCACCAAUCCAUCUUUUGUGAAUGAGUUAUCCCCCAGUGAGUUGGUAUCCUCACUGAAGGACUCCCAAGAAAAUCCACCAACCCAAGUCAUUUUAAUCUGUGAUGUUGGAGCUCCUACCUGUGUAUAUCAUUAGUAACUUUGUGUUAAAGACACUGUCAUGAAAAUUCAACCAUGGAAAUCCUUUUUCAUCCGAGAAAAUUUGGAAUACAUAGUGAGUUAUACAUUUUCUUUAGCCAAGAAACAAAUAACUCAAUAGAGAGGUGAGUUUUUUUAAUACAGUAGUAGAAGCAACCAUGACCGUUAAUCAUAAAAUAUUUCUCACCUUUGCAGUGUUGAACACUGAGGUUUUGCAGUCAGGAAGAAUGCUGAUGGACCAAGAUGGAAUAUUAUACUUCAUUCCAUUGAAAGUAACACUUGCAUAAGAAUGUGGGUUGAAAUUAGAAAGGAAUGCAGCACAUGAGCCUGACUUUGAUCUGUAUACAUGUGCCUGCAAGAAGUCGAAUGUAGAAAAGUUCCAAAAUGCAAAUCAUUGAAAAGAUUCCUGCAAAUUUUACAGCAAGAUAUAAGAAUUGAACCUCCUGAUAAUUUCCGAGUUUUGUCACUGUGGGAUCCCCAGACACAAGAGCUGGUUCACACAUUUUGAUUGCUUUAUGCAGGUCUCUCAGAUGUCCCCAUUUCGGCUGCCUCAACAGACCUGAGAAAGAUUAUGAUACGUUUAACACCAAAUAGAGGGAAUGGUAAUACUUGGCAUCAAAUAUAUUUGUAUUGCAUCAUCAGAUGCUUGACCAAUGAGAUUGCACAAUGUCUUCCUUGUAGAAGAGGAACAAGAUUUUGGCACCAAAAAGAAGAAAUAGGAAAAGGAGAAGCAACCUGAGUGGGAAUUGUAUUACUACUAAUCUUCUCUUAAUCUUGAAAAGAACCCAAGUAUUUGACCUAAAUAAUUCUCUAGGUGAGCAAUCACAACUUUAUACCCACGCAAGUAAAAAGAUCAUGCAUUUCUUUCUAAAAGCUGGAUGAGAUGAUCCAAAAUCACAUCUUUCUGGAAUUAUCACAAGCAUGCUAUGUGUGCAGAUGAUGAAGUCAACCAUGCCUUUUUCCUCACAUCAAAAGCUCCAAAAGGGGCAGAUCAAUGAGAAGUCAUGAGUUAAUUUAAAACCAAAUCAUUACAAAAUGAAAAUUGUUACAUAUGACACAAUCAUUGAAGAAAAACUGCAUACCGUAUUCAUCAAUUGGGGCAUCAUAGUCAUAGCUUGUCGAAAUAAAAGGACCACCAGCCGUCCUACCGAAGUUUGUUCCUCCAUGGUACUGCAGUUGACGGAAACGUGAAAAUUCUUUUACUUCAACAUGAUGUACAGCGUUCAGUAAUUACUGAAACAACUCAAGUAGAACAUACAAAUUCUUACCAUAUAGUAGUUAACGAAGGAUCCACCCUUCUGUAUAAACCUUGCAACGGCAAAAGCCAAGUCCUCAACAGGUCUGUGAGGAACUGGACCCCCGAAAGCAGUGAACCUAUUGAGAUAGAAUAUAUAAAAUAAAUUCACUAGAUCGAUUGAUUUCUUGUGAAAAUUUAUAUGAAUUCAAAUGUGAAGUAGAGGUUACCAGCCAGUCCAUGCUUCAGUCCACAUAGUAGGUUUAUAAGGCUUGUUUGGUGAGAAAUAAUCACAGUAGAACCCAUUGCAGGCAUUGAUCUGUAAAGCCAAGAUCCAAAAAUAAUAUCACAAUAAGUCAACUUAGCUGGUGUAACAGGGAAUUACAAUUACUCUAAUUGGUGCAGCUGUAACGUAAGUAGAAGAAAGUGUUGUUGAACAGGACAGGGUAAAGGAGGAACAUGAAUUUGGUGUUGUUCCUGAUAUGACAGAACAAUAAAACCGAAAUCUUGAACUUACCACUGGAUCAGGUGCAUCAUCUUGCUUGCACAUGACCCACGGCACACCGGUGUUGAGACCCACUGCCAUUUGAGCAGCCCAGCUUAGGUAGUUCUUGGCUGCAGUUCCGCCAUAGUACUCCACUGGACCAUAUUCGUUUUCAAUCUGCUCAAGUUAGACAGAGCAUGGAAGAGCAGAAAGCGAUUUAGAUGAGAUCUUUGGGAGCUGAUCAAUGACACAUAAAAGCUAACGAAUUGAUGAAAACAAAGAAGGAAAGGAUUCAAUGAUACCUGAGAGAGGAUAAUGGGACCACCCUGUGAUUCAAAUAAUCCUUCAGACUUCAUCAUGGCGACAAUCUUCUCUGUGAACUUCGCCAUGGCCGCCUUUUACAUGAACAGACCAAUUAGCAAUUGCUCGGUUAGAGGAGAUCGAGUAUAAACAUAUAAAGUGAAGUUCCUGUGGAUUCUUACCUUGAAAGGUCCAUUGUCGGUCCUGAAAUUGAUGCCAGGAACAUAUUUUAGCCAGACAGGAAAUCCCCUGUUUUACAAAGACAAGAUGAACAACAGAACAACAUCAUCAGAUUGCAUGAUUAGGCUUUUGAUUCCACAUAGAAGAAUUAAUCGAAGACCUCGUACCCAAAGUUCCAUUCGGCACAAACAUAAGGACCAAUCCGGAGAUGAACAUAGAGGCCGGCCUGCUUCACCAGCUUGAUGAAGCGAACCAGGUCGUAAUUACCACCAAAAUAAUACUGCCAAAGAUCAAGAAAAGCAACAAAUUGAGGCACACUGUGGGAAGGGGCAGUAGCCUUGGACGAGAGGGCUGGGAAAGUUUGGGUGAUCUCCGAACCUGACCAGGGGACGGCUCGUGGCCGUUCCAGAACACAUAGGUCUGGAUAACAUCCAAGCCGCCAUCUUUAGCCUUCUGGAUAAGAU